AUUGAAAGCUGGCGGCAGGCCUAACACAUGCAAGUCGAGCGAGCGGCGGACGGGUGAGUAAUGUCUGGGAAACUGCCUGAUGGAGGGGGAAAACUACUGGAAACGGUAGCUAAUACCGCAUACCAUCAGAUGGGCCAAGAUGGGAUUAGCUAGUAGGUGGGGUAACGGCUAACCUAUGCGCUGAACCCUAGCUGGUCUGAGAGGAUGACCAGCCACACUAGGACUAGGACACGGUCCAGACUCCUACGGGUGGCAGCAGUGGGGAAUAUUGCACAAUGGGCGCAAGCCUUAUGCAGCCAUGCCGCUUGUGUGAUGAAGGCCUUCGGUUUGUAAAGCACUUUCAUCGGGGAGGCGUUACCCGCAGGAGAAGCACCGGCUAGCUCCGUGCCAGCAGCCGCGGUAAUAC
rnacentral:rRNA from 1 species